UAGGGAAUCUUCCGCAAUGGGCGAAAGCCUGACGGAGCAACGCCGCGUGAGUGAUGAAGGUCUUCGGAUCGUAAAACUCUGUUAUUAGGGAAGAACAAAUGUGUAAGUAACUAUGCACGUCUUGACGGUACCUAAUCAGAAAGCCACGGCUAACUACGUGCCAGCAGCCGCGGUAAUACGUAGGUGGCAAGCGUUAUCCGGAAUUAUUGGGCGUAAAGCGCGCGUAGGCGGUUUUUUACGUCUGAUGUGAAAGCCCACGGCUCAACCGUGGAGGGUCAUUGGAAACUGGAAAACUUGAGUGCAGAAGAGGAAAGUGGAAUUCCAUGUGUAGCGGUGAAAUGCGCAGAGAUAUGGAGGAACACCAGUGGCGAAGGCGACUUUCUGGUCUGUAACUGCCGCUGAUGUGCGAAAGCGUGGGGAUCAAACAGG
rnacentral:rRNA from 1 species